CUUUUGGAGAAAAUAAGCGUCCGUGACAGAUGUCGUCUCCUCUUGAUGGCGUCUUAUCUCUUGGCAAGUGUUCACUGGCGAUGUAGAUAUACACGUAUAUAUACUAUACAUAUGAAUUAAGAUAGCGCGAGGUAACUGCAGAUUUGUUUCAACUGUGUUUUUUCUUUUCUGCUGAAAGUGCUCGCUCUAUUGUUGUUUCCCUUCUCUUCUGAGCACUAUCGGCGACUUAUGGCGUCAUCUUGGCAUUUGAAUGUUCAAUCCCGAUGGCACGUUUCAAAGGGAGGGCACAAAGCAUAUCUCUCCCGACCGGCGGCAGCCAUCGAGGAGGAGGAGCUUUCCCCCAACUGGACAUAAUCGAUAUCUUACGGCUAGAAUCGAUUUCUUGUCGGUUGGUAAAAUGGUAAUUGUUUUUGUUUUCCAAGUCGAGUUGGAAAUGAAUCCGAAAUCAAAGCCAAAGAAUCAGAGAUCGGAUUGGAAGUUCAAUGGGAAAAGAAAAUUCAGACUAUGCGGCGUGCAUGCUGUGCAUAACUUGGAAUUCGAUGGUUUGCAGAUGGCUGAAGAAAAAUACGAUUAGUGUCCACACUCAGGUAUGAUUAAUUGAUUACAGAGAAAAUUUGUUGAUUGAAUUCAUCAAUUUCAAACUCAAAAUUGGUGCUGUCACUAAUAUUCCGUAAAAGCCGCUUUUCCGUCAUCUAGCGGUGGCAUGUUCAACUUCGUAGCCAGUUUAUGUUUAGUGUUUAUGUUUGAAAUCCUUGGAAUAACCUAAUUGAAAAAAUUUAUGAACAAAUUAACAAUGAACAUCAUCGGUCCACAGCUAGUGCAAAACAUCCAAUGUAUCAACACGUUUGAAAUUCAGCGUACUAUUAUCAUCAUCAGCC